GAAAAAAGCUACAAUGACAAAAAGUAAAAAUAUCUGAAAGUAGCUCGCCUCUAUAGAAAAAAUGUGACAUAAUAGGUCAGAAUAAUUUGUUCUCUCACUCCUAACUGGAGGAGCGGCAUUCCAAAAAAAAAGCCCUUUCUCUAAGUGUUCUUGCUUCUUCUGAAAUCUUGGUGUGAAAAUCCGUGGAGCGCAGUUGCUUCCUGCUAUAGAGCUUAAAGAGUUCGAUAAUCUAGGUGAUAAAUCUCCUUCUAAUGCAAUGUUGUCAAGGACAUCUUCAGAACCUUGUUAGGAGAUUCCACUUCGUAUACUCGAAUUGCAUAAACUUAUAUCACCUCAGGAACCUCCACUAUUGCAAGAUGAUUAUAUUCUUGGAACUGUUGCACAUGAGGGAUAUUGUUGCUAUUUUCCUUUGUCUCUUCUAU